GACGAACGCUGGCGGCGUGCUUAACACAUGCAAGUCGAACGGAAAGGCCCUGCUUUCGUGGGGUGCUCGAGUGGCGAACGGGUGAGUAACACGUGAGUAACCUGCCCUUGACUUUGGGAUAACUUCAGGAAACUGGGGCUAAUACCGGAUAGGAGCUCCUGCUGCAUGGUGGGGGUUGGAAAGUUUCGGCGGUUGGGGAUGGACUCGCGGCUUAUCAGCUUGUUGGUGGGGUAGUGGCUUACCAAGGCUUUGACGGGUAGCCGGCCUGAGAGGGUGACCGGGCACAUUGGGACUGAGAUACGGCCCAGACUCCUACGGGAGGCAGCAGUGGGGAAUAUUGCACAAUGGGCGGGAGCCUGAUGCAGCAACGCCGCGUGCGGGAUGACGGCCUUCGGGUUGUAAACCGCAUUCGCCUGUGACGAAGCGUGAGUGACGGUAAUGGGUAAAGAAGCACCGGCUAACUACGUG
rnacentral:rRNA from 1 species